UAAGGAAUAUUGGUCAAUGGACGCAAGUCUGAACCAGCCAUGCCGCGUGCAGGAUGACGGCCCUAUGGGUUGUAAACUGCUUUUGUACGGGAAAAAAACCUUCUACGUGUAGAAGACUGAUGGUACCGUAAGAAUAAGGAUCGGCUAACUCCGUGCCAGCAGCCGCGGUAAUACGGAGGAUCCAAGCGUUAUCCGGAUUCAUUGGGUUUAAAGGGUGCGUAGGCGGAAUAGUAAGUCAGUGGUGAAAGCCCGCAGCUUAACUGCGGAACUGCCAUUGAUACUGCUAAUCUUGAGUACAUUUGAAGUGGGCGGAAUAUGACAUGUAGCGGUGAAAUGCUUAGAUAUGUCAUAGAACACCGAUUGCGUAGGCAGCUCACUAAACUGUAACUGACGCUGAGGCACGAAAGCGUGGGGAUCAAACAGG
rnacentral:rRNA from 1 species